rnacentral:rRNA from 1 species
CCCGGCGACCGGCGCACGGGUGAGUAACACGUAUGCAACCUGGUUGCCACAGGGGGAUAACCCGCGGAAACGCGGCCUAAUACCCCGUGACGCCACCGGAGGGCAUCCUCCGGUGGCCAAAGGAGCGAUCCGGUGGCGGAUGGGCAUGCGGCGCAUUAGCUAGACGGCGGGGUGACGGCCCACCGUGGCGACGAUGCGUAGGGGUUCUGAGAGGAAGGCCCCCCACACUGGGACUGAGACACGGCCCAGACUCCUACGGAAGGCAGCAG